AUCCAGCUGACGAGUCCCAAAGAGAACGAAACGCGUGUUCUGAAU
rfam:Schistosoma margrebowiei strain Zambia genome assembly, scaffold: SMRZ_scaffold0000752